rnacentral:misc_RNA from 1 species
CUCUUUCCCAACUAUAGCCCAUUCAUUGUCCUCACCAUACCUUGGAUAAGCAUUGUGGCGCACCCUUUCAUACUUCAUCAUCUACCUUAACGCCAUAUUCUAUGCCUCGAACAAAGCUCUUAGCACUUGGACACCAAUUCGAUCCUUGAUUGCAAGCCUCAAUCCUUCCAAAUACUUUGCAACUUGUUGCCCCUAGGAUUCAUGAAGAUUAUUUCUCGACUUAUCUCAUGAACUUAGCUGUGUACUCAAGGACUGGUCAGUUUCGUUUUUGACACCGUUAGUACUUUUGGAAGAGAAUCUGUUCAUAAUCCAGUGGUAAGAAUUCUUGUUGCAAUAGGUACUUCAUCCUAUACCACGUAUGAACCAAACCCUUUCCUUCUCUCUCUCUUUUAGGUUGCAAACUUUCCCGCCAAGCGGAAGCACCACCUUUGAGCCAACAUGUGACUACUUUGACUCGUCUUUCCGGUGCUGUCUCCAUGUAGUCAAUGAAUCUCUUUACAUCCACCAUCCAAUCCAAGAAUAUCUCAAUAUUUAAAUCCCACUGAAGUUGGAAAUAUCGACCUCUAAUUUGAAUUUUG